GAUGAACGCUGGCGGCGUGCUUAACACAUGCAAGUCGAACGGGAUCCAAGGGGUGCUUGCACUUUUUGGUGAGAGUGGCGAACGGGUGAGUAACACGUGAGUAACCUGUCCUUUUCUUUGGGAUAAGCAUUCGAAAGGGUGUUUAAUACCUUAUGUUCUGUCUGCCUCGCAUGGGGUGGGUGGGAAAGGCUUUGGCCGGAUUUGGGUGGGCUCGCGGUCUAUCAGCGUGUUGGUGGGGUGAUGGCCUACCAAGGCUUUGACGGGUAGCCGGCCUGAGAGGGUGGUCGGACUGAGACGGGCUGCGAUACGGCACAGGCGCCUGCGGGAGGCAGCAGUGGGGGAUAUGGCAAAGUGGGCGAAAGCCUGAUGCAGCGAGGGCGCGUGGGAUAUGAAGGCCUUCGGGUUGUAAACUUCUUUGGCUCUGAGCAAGGCAUGCCAGUGGGUGUGUGGAGUGUAGGAGUUGAUUAGCGCCGGCUAACUACGUG
rnacentral:rRNA from 1 species